ensembl:snRNA U6 U6 spliceosomal RNA
AAGCUUCGGCAGCACACACACUAGAAUUGAAAUGAUGCAGAGAAGAUGAGCAUGGCCCCUGCUCAAGGAUAACAGGCAAAUUUGUCAGGUGUUCCAUAUGUUU